GACGUGGCCAGCGGCCCGCGGCCCAGAACGGAGGGUCGUCACGGGCUCACGGGACAGAGUCCCGGGUCCCCAAUUGCUCCCGGCUCCUGCUCCCCGGCGCUGGCGCCGCCGGCUCUCCGCUCACUCAGGUGGUCUCUUCAGCGCUCCAUCGGAUCGCUGCAGUCUUCCCGCCGAUUGUUUCCCUAUCUCCAUCGAUGGUGAGCCCUCCCGGCGGCGAGUGGACUUUUGCCUCUGAUUUCCGGUGGAUCCUUCUCGUCGGCGCCUCCACACGAGGAUGCCGUUGUACUGAUUCAACCAUACUGCUUGGAGUUCCAAUGGACAACCUUGAGAACACGUUAGAGGACAAAGGCUUAAAUUUUCAGUGCAAUCUAUCUGACAUAGAGGUCUUACAUAGCAUGACACAGCUCUUACUUCAUGCAUUGGCCACAGCUUCAGUGGACAGCACCACUGGUGAUAUGUUCAAGAGCCCAGCAUCUGUAGCUAUUGGCAUGAAGACUGAACUAUCAGGGUACAUGAUUCAGAGAUCUGAAACACUUGUUCGCGAAUCUAUGGAUGGAGGCAAGGAUCAUUCAGAUCAAUUAACAAAAGCAUCCUCCAGGCCGACGGAGUUCCUGUCAGACUUGAUCGAUGAUUUUGUGACCUCAAAAAAGGGCAUGCUGAGCCAUGUCUCUGGGCUUUUUUCUAGCGAAAGCCGCCUGAACAAGAUUAAAGACUUCAUGCAAAAGUUAGAGACGGAUAACUCGUGGGCCCAGGAUGAAAGGAAGGCAACUGCAUGGGCUAUUCUGGAGAACAUAGACAGUAAAGGCAAUUUCCAUUGCCCAGAGAGAUUUGACAUGCCAGAUAAGCUAGCGGAGCACACAAGUCAAUGCAAAUUUAGGAUACUGAACUGCACAAAUGAUGGAUGUGUAGCUUCUUUCUGCGCUAUUCAUAUGGAAAAGCGUGACACUGUCUGCCCAUUCAAGCUCCUACCAUGCGAGCAGCUGUGUGAACAACAUGUUAUGCGGUCUGAGAUGGACAAACAUUGUGGAACAGUUUGCCUUAUGAAGCUUACCAACUGCCCGUUUUUUAGAAUUGGCUGUGAAACAGCCUUUCCACAGUGUUCUCUUGAUAACCAUUGUUCGCGGUUUCUACAAACCCAUUUGAUGUAUGUCGUCAAGGGGAUUACAAGACAGGGUGAUUCUGUUAAUGAUACGGAUCAACGGCUGCAACUCCUUAAGAAGGUGCAAUCACUGAACGAACUCGCUGGGGUUUUAGAUGUCAAGGCCCUCACUUUGAUUACAAAGGAACAAGAAUCAAAGAUAAAUAAACUCGAACGGGAUCUCAAAGCCCAAGAAACAAGGAUGAAGAAACUUGAGAACGAUCUUAGGUCACGGAAAUAAUGAUUGCUGUCAUGUGCUCAUCAUUGCAGCCUUACUGGAAACCAGGUGGCAUACAUUGUGGUAUAUGUAAAUAAUCGGUAGCAUUACCAUAAGGUUUACCAUCCUGUUGUCCGUUGUCCAUGUACAAAUAUAGGUUGUAGAAAAGUCAGCUUGUUUUCAGAUCAGUUGAUAAUUUGAUGAAUAUCUUUUUUCCUUCUCAACAGUCAACACUUAGUCGGAAGCAUUUUGUGUGCGAGGGUGGACCUUUGUAGGUCGUUUUAACAGCAAGAUUUCAUGGAGGACAUGUUGCAACAGUAUCAUCAUUGGCUUGGCUCUUCGACGAAGCUUUCAGGUUACAGCGCAAGC